UCCAAAUUGUUUCCGUGUCUAUUUAAAAUAAAUAUAGAUAUGAUUUUUUGCAACCGAAUAAUAUCCGUAUCUGUAUUUGUAUUCAUCAAACAAAAAAAUAUGGAUAUGGAUAUGUUAGUAUCUGAUCCGGUUCCAAUCAUAUGGUAUUACGAUCCAUUCACCUACAUCCUCAGUUUUUACGUGAUUAAGCAACUUCUUGGUAUUUACUUUUGAACACUG
rnacentral:lncRNA from 1 species